rnacentral:rRNA from 1 species
AUGUGGUUAAUUCGACGCAACGCGCAGAACUUACCUGGGCUUGACAUCCCGAUCGCACUCUCUGGAAACAGAGGGUCAGUUCGGCUGGAUCGGUGACAGGUGCUGCAUGGCUGUCGUCAGCUCGUGUCGUGAGAUGUUGGGUUAAGUCCCGCAACGAGCGCAACCCUCGUCCUUAGUUGCCAGCAUUAAGUUUGGGGCACUCUAAGGAGACUGCCGGUGUUAAACCGGAGGAAGGCGGGGAUGACGUCAAGUCCUCAUGGCCCUUAUGUCCAGGGCUACACACGUGCUACAAUGGCCGGUACAAAGGGUAGCAAGACCGCGAGGUGGAGCCAAUCCCAAAAAGCCGGUCUCAGUUCGGAUUGGAGUCUGCAACUCGACUCCAUGAAGUUGGAAUCGCUAGUAAUCGUGGAUCAGCAUGCCACGGUGAAUACGUUCCCGGGCCUU